ACAGCAGUAGCCGCGGGAAUACGAAGGGGGCUAGCGUUGUUCGGAAUUACUGGGCGUAAAGCGCACGUAGGCGGAUAUUCAAGUCAGGGGUGAAAUCCCAGAGCUCAACUCUGGAACUGCCUUUGAUACUGGGUAUCUUGAGUAUGGAAGAGGUGAGUGGAAUUCCGAGUGUAGAGGUGAAAUUCGUAGAUAUUCGGAGGAACACCAGUGGCGAAGGCGGCUCACUGGUCCAUUACUGACGCUGAGGUGCGAAAGCGUGGGGAGCAAACAGGAUUAGAUACCCCCGUAGUCCCUGUCUCUUAUAC
rnacentral:rRNA from 1 species